rnacentral:rRNA from 1 species
GAUGAACGCUAGCUACAGGCUUAACACAUGCAAGUCGAGCGGACCUCUUCGGAGGUCAGCGGCGGACGGGUGAGUAACACGUGGGCAACCUGCCUGUAAGACUGGGAUAACUCCGGGAAACCGGAGCUAAUACCGGAUACUAUGUCAAACCGCAUGGUUUGACAUUCAAAGACGGUUUCGGCUGUCACUUACAGAUGGGCCCGCGGCGCAUUAGCUAGUUGGUGAGGUAACGGCUCACCAAGGCGACGAUGCGUAGCCGACCUGAGAGGGUGAUCGGCCACACUGGGACUGAGACACGGCCCAGACUCCUACGGGAGGCAGCAGUAGGGAAUCUUCCGCAAUGGACGAAAGUCUGACGGAGCAACGCCGCGUGAGUGAUGAAGGUUUUCGGAUCGUAAAACUCUGUUGUCAGGGAAGAACAAGUGCCGGAGUAACUGCCGGCGCCUUGACGGUACCUGACCAGAGAGCCACGGCUAACUACGUGCCAGCCGCCGCCGUAA